AACGGGGGUUGGAAGUUUGUAUGAAAGUCCUAUGUUUUUGAAGUAAGAGACUUGAAAUUUAAAAUGUAUGCCUUAUAGAUGAUAAGAAAAUAUCCAAAUAAUGUAUCUUUAGAAAUCAACUCCCUUUUGGGGUUAAAACGGGGGAUGGUAGGUUGACUCACUCAUCAUGAAAUCUCCGCAACUAAAACAGCCACAAACUUGAAAUCUGGCAGGUAGGUUCCUUAUAGGGCGUAGACAUCCGUUAAUACCGAGUUUUAUGAAACUCGGCCCCUAAGGGGGUAAAACGGGAGUUGGAAGUUUGUAUGAAAGUGCUAUGUUUUUGAAGUAAGAGACUUUAAAUUUAAAAUGCAUGCUCUAUAAAUGGUGAGAAGGUGUCCAAAUAAUCUGUCUUUAGAAAUCCACUCCCUUUUGGGGUUAAAACGGGUGAUGGUAGGUUGACUCACUCAUCACGGAAUCUCCGAAACUAUAACAGCCACAAACUUAAAGGUUGCAGGUAGGUUCCUUAUAGGGCGUAGACAUCUACUAAGAACUGAUUUUAUGAAACUCGACCCCUAAGGGGUUAAAAGUGGGGUUGAAAGUUUGUAUGAAAGUC
rnacentral:misc_RNA from 1 species